rnacentral:rRNA from 1 species
CAUAGGUUAAUGAGGCGAACCGGGGGAACUGAAACAUCUAAGUACCCCGAGGAAAAGAAAUCAACCGAGAUUCCCCCAGUAGCGGCGAGCGAACGGGGAGCAGCCCAGAGCCUGAAUCAGUGUGUGUGUUAGUGGAAGCGUCUGGAAAGGCGCGCGAUACAGGGUGACAGCCCCGUACACAAAAAUGCACAUGCUGUGAGCUCGAUGAGUAGGGCGGGACACGUGGUAUCCUGUCUGAAUAUGGGGGGACCAUCCUCCAAGGCUAAAUACUCCUGACUGACCGAUAGUGAACCAGUACCGUGAGGGAAAGGCGAAAAGAACCCCGGCGAGGGGAGUGAAAAAGAACCUGAAACCGUGUACGUACAAGCAGUGGGAGCACGCUUAGGCGUGUGACUGCGUACCUUUUGUAUAAUGGGUCAGCGACUUAUAUUCUGUAGCAAGGUUAACCGAAUAGGGGAGCCGAAGGGAAACCGAGUCUUAACUGGGCGUUAAGUUGCAGGGUAUAGACCCGAAACCCGGUGAUCUAGCCAUGGGCAGGUUGAAGGUUGGGUAACACUAACUGGAGGACCGAACCGACUAAUGUUGAAAAAUUAGCGGAUGACUUGUGGCUGGGGGUGAAAGGCCAAUCAAACCGGGAGAUAGCUGGUUCUCCCCGAAAGCUAUUUAGGUAGCGCCUCGUGAAUUCAUCUCCGGGGGUAGAGCACUGUUUCGGCAAGGGGGUCAUCCCGACUUACCAACCCGAUGCAAACUGCGAAUACCGGAGAAUGUUAUCACGGGAGACACACGGCGGGUGCUAACGUCCGUCGUGAAGAGGGAAACAACCCAGACCGCCAGCUAAGGUCCCAAAGUCAUGGUUAAGUGGGAAACGAUGUGGGAAGGCCCAGACAGCCAGGAUGUUGGCUUAGAAGCAGCCAUCAUUUAAAGAAAGCGUAAUAGCUCACUGGUCGAGUCGGCCUGCGCGGAAGAUGUAACGGGGCUAAACCAUGCACCGAAGCUGCGGCAGCGACGCUUAUGCGUUGUUGGGUAGGGGAGCGUUCUGUAAGCCUGUGAAGGUGUGCUGUGAGGCAUGCUGGAGGUAUCAGAAGUGCGAAUGCUGACAUAAGUAACGAUAAAGCGGGUGAAAAGCCCGCUCGCCGGAAGACCAAGGGUUCCUGUCCAACGUUAAUCGGGGCAGGGUGAGUCGACCCCUAAGGCGAGGCCGAAAGGCGUAGUCGAUGGGAAACAGGUUAAUAUUCCUGUACUUGGUGUUACUGCGAAGGGGGGACGGAGAAGGCUAUGUUGGCCGGGCGACGGUUGUCCCGGUUUAAGCGUGUAGGCUGGUUUUCCAGGUAAAUCCGGAAAAUCAAGGCUGAGGCGUGAUGACGAGGCACUACGGUGCUGAAGCAACAAAUGCCCUGCUUCCAGGAAAAGCCUCUAAGCAUCAGGUAACAUCAAAUCGUACCCCAAACCGACACAGGUGGUCAGGUAGAGAAUACCAAGGCGCUUGAGAGAACUCGGGUGAAGGAACUAGGCAAAAUGGUGCCGUAACUUCGGGAGAA